rnacentral:rRNA from 1 species
ACUAAGCGUACACGGUGGAUGCCCUGGCAGUCAGAGGCGAUGAAGGACGUGCUAAUCUGCGAUAAGCGUCGGUAAGGUGAUAUGAACCGUUAUAACCGGCGAUUUCCGAAUGGGGAAACCCAGUGUGAUUCGUCACACUAUCAUUAACUGAAUCCAUAGGUUAAUGAGGCGAACCGGGGGAACUGAAACAUCUAAGUACCCCGAGGAAAAGAAAUCAACCGAGAUUCCCCCAGUAGCGGCGAGCGAACGGGGAGCAGCCCAGAGCCUGAAUCAGUGUGUGUGUUAGUGGAAGCGUCUGGAAAGGCGCGCGAUACAGGGUGACAGCCCCGUACACAAAAAUGCACAUGCUGUGAGCUCGAUGAGUAGGGCGGGACACGUGGUAUCCUGUCUGAAUAUGGGGGGACCAUCCUCCAAGGCUAAAUACUCCUGACUGACCGAUAGUGAACCAGUACCGUGAGGGAAAGGCGAAAAGAACCCCGGCGAGGGGAGUGAAAAAGAACCUGAAACCGUGUACGUACAAGCAGUGGGAGCACGCUUAGGCGUGUGACUGCGUACCUUUUGUAUAAUGGGUCAGCGACUUAUAUUCUGUAGCAAGGUUAACCGAAUAGGGGAGCCGAAGGGAAACCGAGUCUUAACUGGGCGUUAAGUUGCAGGGUAUAGACCCGAAACCCGGUGAUCUAGCCAUGGGCAGGUUGAAGGUUGGGUAACACUAACUGGAGGACCGAACCGACUAAUGUUGAAAAAUUAGCGGAUGACUUGUGGCUGGGGGUGAAAGGCCAAUCAAACCGGGAGAUAGCUGGUUCUCCCCGAAAGCUAUUUAGGUAGCGCCUCGUGAAUUCAUCUCCGGGGGUAGAGCACUGUUUCGGCAAGGGGGUCAUCCCGACUUACCAACCCGAUGCAAACUGCGAAUACCGGAGAAUGUUAUCACGGGAGACACACGGCGGGUGCUAACGUCCGUCGUGAAGAGGGAAACAACCCAGACCGCCAGCUAAGGUCCCAAAGUCAUGGUUAAGUGGGAAACGAUGUGGGAAGGCCCAGACAGCCAGGAUGUUGGCUUAGAAGCAGCCAUCAUUUAAAGAAAGCGUAAUAGCUCACUGGUCGAGUCGGCCUGCGCGGAAGAUGUAACGGGGCUAAACCAUGCACCGAAGCUGCGGCAGCGACGCUUAUGCGUUGUUGGGUAGGGGAGCGUUCUGUAAGCCUGUGAAGGUGUGCUGUGAGGCAUGCUGGAGGUAUCAGAAGUGCGAAUGCUGACAUAAGUAACGAUAAAGCGGGUGAAAAGCCCGCUCGCCGGAAGACCAAGGGUUCCUGUCCAACGUUAAUCGGGGCAGGGUGAGUCGACCCCUAAGGCGAGGCCGAAAGGCGUAGUCGAUGGGAAACAGGUUAAUAUUCCUGUACUUGGUGUUACUGCGAAGGGGGGACGGAGAAGGCUAUGUUGGCCGGGCGACGGUUGUCCCGGUUUAAGCGUGUAGGCUGGUUUUCCAGGCAAAUCCGGAAAAUCAAGGCUGAGGCGUGAUGACGAGGCACUACGGUGCUGAAGCAACAAAUGCCCUGCUUCCAGGAAAAGCCUCUAAGCAUCAGGUAACAUCAAAUCGUACCCCAAACCGACACAGGUGGUCAGGUAGAGAAUACCAAGGCGCUUGAGAGAACUCGGGUGAAGGAACUAGGCAAAAUGGUGCCGUAACUUCGGGAGAAGGCACGCUGAUAUGUAGGUGAAGUCCCUCGCGGAUGGAGCUGAAAUCAGUCGAAGAUACCAGCUGGCUGCAACUGUUUAUUAAAAACACAGCACUGUGCAAACACGAAAGUGGACGUAUACGGUGUGACGCCUGCCCGGUGCCGGAAGGUUAAUUGAUGGGGUCAGCGCAAGCGAAGCUCUUGAUCGAAGCCCCGGUAAACGGCGGCCGUAACUAUAACGGUCCUAAGGUAGCGAAAUUCCUUGUCGGGUAAGUUCCGACCUGCACGAAUGGCGUAAUGAUGGCCAGGCUGUCUCCACCCGAGACUCAGUGAAAUUGAACUCGCUGUGAAGAUGCAGUGUACCCGCGGCAAGACGGAAAGACCCCGUGAACCUUUACUAUAGCUUGACACUGAACAUUGAGCCUUGAUGUGUAGGAUAGGUGGGAGGCUUAGAAGUGUGGACGCCAGUCUGCAUGGAGCCGACCUUGAAAUACCACCCUUUAAUGUUUGAUGUUCUAACGUUGACCCGUAAUCCGGGUUGCGGACAGUGUCUGGUGGGUAGUUUGACUGGGGCGGUCUCCUCCUAAAGAGUAACGGAGGAGCACGAAGGUUGGCUAAUCCUGGUCGGACAUCAGGAGGUUAGUGCAAUGGCAUAAGCCAGCUUGACUGCGAGCGUGACGGCGCGAGCAGGUGCGAAAGCAGGUCAUAGUGAUCCGGUGGUUCUGAAUGGAAGGGCCAUCGCUCAACGGAUAAAAGGUACUCCGGGGAUAACAGGCUGAUACCGCCCAAGAGUUCAUAUCGACGGCGGUGUUUGGCACCUCGAUGUCGGCUCAUCACAUCCUGGGGCUGAAGUAGGUCCCAAGGGUAUGGCUGUUCGCCAUUUAAAGUGGUACGCGAGCUGGGUUUAGAACGUCGUGAGACAGUUCGGUCCCUAUCUGCCGUGGGCGCUGGAGAACUGAGGGGGGCUGCUCCUAGUACGAGAGGACCGGAGUGGACGCAUCACUGGUGUUCGGGUUGUCAUGCCAAUGGCACUGCCCGGUAGCUAAAUGCGGAAGAGAUAAGUGCUGAAAGCAUCUAAGCACGAAACUUGCCCCGAGAUGAGUUCUCCCUGACUCCUUGAGAGUCCUGAAGGAACGUUGAAGACGACGACGUUGAUAGGCCGGGUGUGUAAGCGCAGCGAUGCGUUGAGCUAACCGGUACUAAUGAACCGUGAGGCUUAACC